rnacentral:rRNA from 1 species
GCUACGGCGUCGAAGCAGUCUAUGUCAUACUUCCAAGAAAAGCUUGCACUGUCAUAAACAAAUAAUGCCUGUACCAUAACCGACACAGGUGGGUAGGUAGAGUAUACUAAGGGGCGCGAGAUAACUCUCUCUAAGGAACUCGGCAAAAUGACUCCGUAACUUCGGGAGAAGGAGUGCCUUCUUUAGAAGGUUGCAAUAACAAGAUCCAAGCAACUGUUUACCAAAAACACAGGUCUCCGCUAAGUCGUAAGACGAUGUAUGGGGGCUGACGCCUGCCCAGUGCCAGAAGGUUAAAGAAGUUGGUUAGCAUUUGCGAAGCUGAUAACUGAAGCCCUGGUGAACGGCGGCCGUAACAAUAACGGUCCUAAGGUAGCGAAAUUCCUUGUCGGGUAAGUUCCGACCCGCACGAAAGGCGUAAUGAUUAGGAUACUGUCUCGGAGAGGGACUCGGUGGAAUAGACUUGUCUGUGAAGAUGCGGACUACCUGCACCUGGACAGAAAGACCCUAUGAAGCUUUACUGUAACUUGAAAUUGAAAUUGGACUUUAUUUGCGCAGUAUAGGUGGGAGGCUUUGAGAAUAAUCUUGCGGGAUUAUUGGAGCUAUCAGUGAGAUACCACUCUUGUAAUGUUAGAUUUCUAACUUUGGAUCAUUAUCUGGUCAAAGAACAGUUUCAGGCGGGCAGUUUGACUGGGGCGGUCGCCUCCCAAACGGUAACGGAGGCGCACAAAGGUUUCCUCUGAACGGGUAGAAAUCGUAUCUAGAGUGUAAAGGCAUAAGGAAGCUUGACUGUGAGACCUACAAGUCGAGCAGGGACGAAAGUCGGUCUUAGUGAUCUGACGGUGCUGAGUGGAAAGGCCGUCACUCAACGGAUAAAAGUUACUCUAAGGAUAACAGGCUGAUCUCCCCCAAGAGUUCACAUCGACGGGGAGGUUUGGCACCUCGAUGUCGGCUCAUCGCAUCCUGGGGCGGUAGUACGUCCCAAGGGUUGGGCUGUUCGCCCAUGAAAGCGGUACGCGAGCUGGGUUCAGAACGUCGUGAGACAGUUCGGUCCAUAUCCGGUGUAGGCGUUAGAAUAUUGAGAGGAGCCUUCUCUAGUACGAGAGGACCGAGAAGGACAUACCUCUGGUGUACCAGUUAUCGUGCCAACGGUAAACGCUGGGUAGCUAUGUAUGGAGUGGAUAACCGCUGAAAGCAUCUAAGUGGGAAGCCCACCUCAAGAUAAGUAUUC